rnacentral:rRNA from 1 species
CAUGGCUCAGGAUGAACGCUGCGGCGUGCUUAACACAUGCAAGUCGAACGGAGUUAGGAGCUUGCUCUUAAACUAGUGGCGGACGGGUGAGUAACGCGUGGGUAACCUGCCUUUCACUGGGGGAUAACAGUUAGAAAUGACUGCUAAUACCGCAUAAGCGCACGGGAUCGCAUGAUCUAGUGUGAAAAACUCCGGUGGUGAAAGAUGGACCCGCGUCUGAUUAGCUAGUUGGUGAGGUAACGGCCCACCAAGGCGACGAUCAGUAGCCGGCCUGAGAGGGUGAACGGCCACAUUGGGACUGAGACACGGCCCAAACUCCUACGGGAGGCAGCAGUGGGGAAUAUUGCACAAUGGGGGGAAACCCUGAUGCAGCGAACCGCCGCGUGAGUGAAGAAGUAUUUCGGUAUGUAAAGCUCUAUCAGCAGGGAAGAUAAUGACGGUACCUGACUAAGAAGCACCGGCUAAAUACGUGCCAGCCGCUGC